rnacentral:rRNA from 1 species
AAACUGGGAUUAGAUACCCCACUAUGCUUAGCCUUAAACCUAAAUAAUUUCCUAACAAAAUUAUUCGCCAGAGAACUACGAGCCAGAGCUUAAAACUCAAAGGACUUGGCGGUGCUUUAUACCCGCCUAGAGGAGCCUGUUCUAUAAUCGAUAAACCCCGAUAAACCUUACCACUCUUUGCCAACUCAGCCUAUAUACCGCCAUCUUCAGCAAACCCUAAAAAGGAGCAAAAGUAAGCUUAAUCAUCACCAUAAAAACGUUAGGUCAAGGUGUAGCCUAUAGAGUGGAAAGUAAUGGGCUACAUUUUCUACUUUAGAACACACGAAAGCCCCUAUGAAACCCUAGGAGCCAAAGGAGGAUUU